rnacentral:lncRNA from 1 species
ACCCAUUGCCUAGUCCUUAAGGCUCAGUACUGAUCAAACUCAGUAUUGAUUCUAAGAUAGAAGUUAAGGAUUUGAGGCUUUUAAAAACAUUUUUUAAUAAUUGAUUUCUGUGUUGGACACUGAGUUUGGGAUACCUCUAGGACUUCUGUCUCAAGCUUGGCUGGAGUAAGCAGUUGUUAAUUCAAGGCUGACACUCAGAGAAGAGAUUGUGAGGCUGGAGAGAGAGUUCUAGGAGUUGUUUGGAGAGAUGACAGAGAGGACCUAGGGUAGAACGGUGGAAAACAUGUACCGGGAAGGGCAAAAUAUGGAUCUGGCUUCAGCAAUGAACUGGCAGCUGGGCUGUUAGAGUCAAGAACAUCCAAAUUCAAAUCCAGCCUCAGAUACUAGCUGUGUGACCUUGGGCAAGUCAUUUAACUCUGCCUGCCGCCUCAGUUUCCUCAUCUUUCAAAUGACCUAGAGAAGGAAGUGACCCAUGGUUCCCAUUUCACUGCCAAGAAAACCCCAAUUAUGGUCAUGAAGAGAGGGAUGGGACUGAAAUAACUGAAAAAACAACAGGGUUAAGUGACUUGUCCAGGGUCACCCAGCUAAGCAGUAUCUGAGGCCAGAUUUGAACCAAGGUCCUGACUCCAGUCUUGGCACUCCCUCUACUGUGCCACCUCAAUGACCUAACAAAUCUGAUCUUGAUAUCUAAACCAGGGUGAGACAAAUCAGAGAAGAAACAAUAGGAUAAUCAGCAUUGUUGCAAAUCAUUUAAAUAAGAUAUGAUUAAAGAGAUUUUAGCAACAUAACAAAUGUAUAACUACAUAGAUUUUAUUUUUUAAUUUAAUUUUGCUUGUUUGUUUUCAACCAGUGGAAAGAUGUCUUCUCUUUCUCUCACAUCUGCUCCCCACUCCAUUGAGAAAAAGAAGAAAAAAACAACAACCAGAGGAACUCCUCAAAGGAGGGAAGAUAUGCUGAACAAGCUCAACACAGGAUAAAAGGCAGAUAAUCAACUGAGUACCAGUACAAGCUUGAAGGUAAGGAGGUCCUAAUUAGCAUGGAGGCCAACAGGACAAAGGUUUCCUCUAAAAGGUGAGAUUUUUAGCUAGGACUUGUAAGUCAGAAAAGCCAGGUA